rnacentral:rRNA from 1 species
AGGGAAUAUUGGACAAUGGGCGAAAGCCUGAUCCAGCAAUGCCGCGUGUGUGAAGAAGGCCUGCGGGUUGUAAAGCACUUUCGGUUGGGAAGAAAAGCUGAUAACUAAUAAUUGUCAGUCUUGACGUUACCAAAAAAAGAAGCACCGGCUAACUCUGUGCCAGCAGCCGCGGUAAUACAGAGGGUGCAAGCGUUAAUCGGAAUUACUGGGCGUAAAGCGUGCGUAGGCGGCUAAAUCAGUCGGGUGUGAAAUCCCCAGGCUUAACCUGGGAACUGCAUUCGAUACUAUUUGGCUAGAGUAUGAUAGAGGAAAGCGGAAUUCCCGGUGUAGCGGUGAAAUGCGUAGAUAUCGGGAGGAACAUCAGUGGCGAAGGCGGCUUUCUGGAUUAAUACUGACGCUCAGGUACGAAAGCGUGGGGAUCAAAC